AUUGAACGCUGGCGGCAUGCCUUACACAUGCAAGUCGAACGGCAGCAUGGAAGAGCUUGCUCUUCUGAUGGCGAGUGGCGAACGGGUGAGUAAAGCAUCGGAACGUACCGUGUAGUGGGGGAUAACGUAGUGAAAGUUACGCUAAUACCGUAUACGCAUUGAGGGGGAAAGCAGGGGAUCGCAAGACCUUUGGCUAUACAAACAGCCGAUGUCAGAUUAGCCAGUUGGUAGGGUAAAGGCCUACCAAGGCGACGGUCUGUAGCGGUUCUGAGAGGAUGAUCCGCCACACUGGGACUGAGACGGGGCCCAGACACCUACGGGAGGCAGCAGUGCGGAAUUUUGGACAAUGGGCGAAACCCUGAUCAAGCCAUGCCGCGUGAGUGCAGAAGGCCUUCGGGUUGUAAAGCUCUUUCGGCUGGGAAGAAAUCGCACAGGCUAAUACUCUGUGUGGAUGACGGUACCAGCAUAAGAAGCACCGGCUAACUACGUGCCAGCAGCCGCCGCAG
rnacentral:rRNA from 1 species